AUGACAGAGACACCAUUCACCUGAUUACAAGUCAGUGUAGCACCAACAGGAUUUAACAGACGGCUUUAACAGCUGAAAUAAGGAAAGUGACCCUGGUAAGAGGAGAAAAAAGAGAGAACAGAGAAAAAGAAGAAAAGGAGAAGUGACAUGUGGAAAUAAGCGGAAUUAAACAAAACAAGGAUGUCCAAACGAGACAGAAAAACAGAGUAUUGUUAAAGAAUAGGAGGAAUAAAGAAAAGACAGAAGGAAUGAUGAAAGGCCUUACAAGAAGAGAGGAAGGAAACAAAACCGAAGUGAGAGAGGGGUGCAUGAAUAAUGAUGGAUAAAGAAAGGAGAGGAAGCAUGUGGAAUGAUGGAGGACGGAUAAUAGAGGGGAAAGAGGAAAUAAAGAAGAGACAGAAAGACUGAUGGAGGGAUAAAACGAAGGGAGAAAGAGAUGGAAAUGAUCCAGCUGCAAACUGUUGGGAAACACGCACACAAUCUGUGGUUUAUUCCUCUGUGUCAGAGGAACAUUGAAAGUGUGAGGAAAUAACAAGGACCGAGUCAUUUAAUUUGACUUCAAAUGUGUGUGUGUGUGUGUGCGCGCAGGUGUGUGUUCCUAUCUCGUCAGUGGGUUCCUGGAUCAGGGGUCACAGCUCGCUGACAUGGGCCGAUAAUCAAGUCCCCACACUUUUUACAUGGCGAGGGAGGGACGAGCGCAGCUCAUCGGAGGUGGCAGAAGAUAAUGAAGCUCGGCCGUCUCCUGUGUUUGCAGCACGGGCCAACAGGUGGAGGCCACACUCUGAGAGCAGCGGGGUUACCCGGAGGUUCACCUGGAGGGACACAACACCAGAAAUCAGAGUCAACCAGCAGAUCCGGAGACACAAGGGCCCAGUGAGGUGACAUGUAGGAUGAUCUGUAGGCUGCCUGGAUAAUGAUCCAUCUCAUCAGUCCAUGUGGAAAAAAACAAGUCCUGAGAACAAGACAAGGACUUGUUUUUCUGUGCAGAGCGGACCAGAGACAGUUAGAAGCAAAAACAGAUCAGCUGAUGUGACACAACAGUGACUCCUUCAGUGUGCAGUGUGUGGACAAGGCAAAGGAGCAAAGGCUGAUGGAAGAUUUUCUGGAAACAAACUGCAGAGCGAGGUGGUGUUCAAGGCCAGACACUAUAGGUGAAUAUAAUAAUGUCAAUUUCAAUACAUAUCACCAUGAAACUUCCCCAGUUUAUAAUUUAUACUAAGACAAUCAGUUUUUGUAUUACAAGUUUUCUGAAAUUUGAUGUUUAAAUAUGCAAAUGAGGCAUUAUCUAAGUGAAAGUUAGCAUUAGAGAC